GACGAACGCUGGCGGCGUGCUUAACACAUGCAAGUCGAACGAAGAGCGACGGAAGCUUGCUUCUAUCAAUCUUAGUGGCGAACGGGUGAGUAACGCGUAAUCAACCUGCCCUUCAGAGGGGGACAACAGUUGGAAACGACUGCUAAUACCGCAUACGAUCUAAUCUCGGCAUCGAGGAUGGAUGAAAGGUGGCCUCUACAUGUAAGCUAUCACUGAAGGAGGGGAGUGCGUCUGAUUAGCUAGUUGGAGCGGUAACGGCCCACCAAGGCGAUGAUCAGUAGCCGGUCUGAGAGGAUGGACGGCCACAUUGGGACGGAGACACGGCCCAGACUCCUACGGGAGGCAGCAGUGGGGAAUCUUCCGCAAUGGACGAAAGUCUGACGGAGCAAUGCCGCGUGAGUGAUGACGGCCUUCGGGUUGUAAAGCUCUGUUAAUCGGGACGAAAGGCCUUCUUGCGAAUAGUGAGAAGGAUUGACGGUACCGGAAGAGAAAGCCACGGCUAACUACGUG
rnacentral:rRNA from 1 species